rnacentral:lncRNA from 1 species
CAGUCGAGCCCAGUCCAGGUUUCAGCCCAGUCAAGCCCAGUCCAGGUCUCAGCCCAGUCGAGCCCAGUUCGGGUUCCAGCCCAGUUGAGCCCAGUCCGGGCUCUAGCCCCGCUCCAGUCGAGCCCAGUCCAGUCGAGCCCAGUCCAGUCGAGCCCAGUCCAGUCGAGCCCAGUCCAGUCGAGCCCAGUCCAGUCGAGCCCAGUCCAGAUCCCAGUCCAGUCGAGCCCAGUCCAGGGCCCCGUUCAGUCCGGUCACGCUCAGGUCCAGUCGAGGCUAGCCCACGUUCCAGUCCAGUCGAGUCACGUUCCAGUCCAGUCGAGUCACGUCCCAGUCCAGUCCAGUCACGCUUAGUCCUUGUCCCAGUCAGAGGGCACCGUCCGUCUGACGACUGUUAGUUCCACCCAAUCAGGCCGACGUCUCCUCCGUCGAGCUCGGCAGCUGUAAGCAGUCAUGCCGGCUCCGGAGGGGACGCCGUCCCAGUUCCUGUCGACCCGUUAGGGGUCGUUCCUGUCCCCGUCGGCUCUAGUAAGGACGCCGUUCCUGUUCCUGUCGGCCAUGUUGAGGCCGUUCCUGUUCCUGUCGGCCAUGUUGAGGCCGUUCCAGUCCCUGUCGGCCAUGUUGAGGCCGUUCCAGUCCCGGUCGGCCAUGUUGAGGCCGUUCCCGCCCCUGUCGGCCAUGUUGAGGCCGUUCCCGCCCCUGUCGGCCACGCUGAGGCCGUUCCCGCCCCUGUCGGCCAUGUUGAGGCCGUUCCCGCCCCUGUCGGCCAUGUUGAGGCCGUUCCCGCCCCUGUCGGCCAUGUUGAGGCCGUUCCAGUCCCGGUCGGCCAUGUUGAGGUCGUUCCUGUACCUGUCGGUUCCGUAGUUCCUGUCGGCCAAGUAGCGGUCGUUCCAGUCCCCGUUCCUGUCGGCCCGAGAGAGGUCGUUCCAGUCUCUGUCAUCCUCGGAGCCGCAGCGCCCGCGGACCUCCAGGAGGAGGCGGCGCCAGCUGCAGUCCCUGCGCACCUCCAGGAGGAGGUCGCGCCAGCUGCAGUCCCUGCGCACCUCCAGGAGGAGGUCGCGCCAGCUGCAGUCCCUGCGCACCUCCAGGAGGAGGUCGCGCCAGCUGCAGUCCCUGCGCACCUCCAGGAAGGGGUCGCGCCAGCUGCAGUCCCUGCGCACCUCCAGGAAGGGGUCGCGCCAGCUGCAGUCCCUGCGCACCUCCAGGAGGGGGUCGCGCCCCCGUCGCAGUCCCGGCGGACCUCCAGGAGGGGGUCGCGCCCCCGUCGCAGUCCUUGCUGACCUCCAGGAGGGUGUCAUUCCCGUCGCAGCUC